GGAUACCUGUGGUAAUUCUAGAGCUAAUACANGCAACUAAGCUCGGAGCCCGCUACCGAGGAUUCGUUCCACGGGAGUUAGGGCGAAGUGCGCAUUUAUUAGAUCCGAAAUUAAACCGACCGGACUCCGGUCCGUAAAGUCUAAACUCGGAUGACUCCGAAUAACUCAGCCGAGCGCUUAGGUCUCUGCACCGGCGCCGUAUCCUUCGAGCGUCUGCCUUAUCAGCUCUCGAUUGUAGGUUAUACGCCUACAAUGGCUGUAACGGGUGACGGGGAAUCAGGGUUCGAUUCCGGAGAGGGAGCCUGAGAAACGGCUACCACAUCUAAGGAAGGCAGCAGGCACGCAAAUUACCCACUCCCAGCACGGGGAGGUAGUGACGAAAAAUAACGAUGUGGGACUCUUCCGAGGCCCCGCAAUCGGAAUGAGUCCAACCUAAAUCCUUGGACGAGGAUCUAUUGGAGGGCAAGUCUGGUGCCAGCAGCCGCGGUAAUUCCAGCUCCAAUAGCGUAUAUUAAAGUUGCUGCGGUUAAAAAGCUCGUAGUUGGAUCUUGGAUCCGGACCGUCGGCCCACCCAAGGCGAGCCCCCUCCAUCAUGGGACUGGACCUCGUACCUGCCGAGCCACCUCGAGCCCUUCCGUGCUUUCGUUGGCCAAGCUCCCUCUGUGGACUCGGUCUUCGCUUGCUACGUGUUGCGGUGAAAGGACUCGGUCGGAGUUUCGAGCCCACGUCUCGGAGGGUUAGCCCGUCCGGUUGGAGCACCGCUCGGCUUCGGAUUGCAAAAACCGUCGGCUUCACAUGGGGUGCUCUUCACCGAGUGUCCCGCGUGGCCGGCAAUUUCACUUUGAAAAAAUUAGAGUGCUCAGAGCAGGCUCAAAAUUGAUGCCUGAAUGGUGUUGCAUGGAAUGAUGGAAGAGGACCUCGGUUCCGUGACUAUUUGUCGGUUUUCCGGAACCAGAGGUAAUGAUUAAAGGGAACAGACGGGGGCAUUCGUAUUGCGACGCUAGAGGUGAAAUUCUUGGACCGUCGCAAGACGAACUANUGCGAAAGCAUUUGCCAAGGAUGUUUUCGUUAAUCAAGAACGAAAGUUAGAGGAUCGAAGGCGAUCAGAUACCGCCCUAGUUCUAACUGUAAACUAUGCUGACCGGCUAUCCGCCGACGUCAUUCCCACGACUCGGCGGGUAUCCUCCGGGAAACCAGAGUUUCUGAGUUCCGGGGGAAGUAUGGUUGCAAAGCUGAAACUUAAAGGAAUUGACGGAAGGGCACCACCAGGAGUGGAGCCUGCGGCUUAAUUUGACUCAACACGGGGAAACUCACCAGGCCCAGACACCGGAAGGAUUGACAGAUUGAGAGCUCUUUCUCGAUUCGGUGGGUGGUGGUGCAUGGCCGUUNUUAGUUGGUGGAGCGAUCUGUCUGGUUAAUUCCGAUAACGAACGAGACUCUACCCUGCUAAAUAGUUGGUGGAUCGUCUCCCGAGGUCGCUUGGGUUCUACUUCCGUUUAUGUCGGGUCUCCGGGAUCACUCGUGGGGUUUGGCUCUCUUUUCGGACACUCGCUCGUCCCCGGNGUCAUCGUGGCGUUUGGGGAAGGGUGGAGGCCGGAUUGAUCCUGCCCUUUCGGGCCCUGGUGUUCCUGCGCGGCUGUUCCCCACGGCUUUAUCGGGGCGUCCAUCGCAAUUUCUUCUUAGAGGGAUCGGAGGUGUCUAGCCUCACGAGAAAGAGCAAUAACAGGUCUGUGAUGCCCUUAGAUGUUCUGGGCCGCACGCGCGCUACAAUGGAGGGUUCAGCGUGCUCCCUGCUCCGAAAGGAGUGGGUAACCGCCUCAAAUCCGUUCUCAAUGGGGAUUGGGGCUUGUAAAUGUUUCCCAUGAACGAGGAAUUCCCAGUAAGCGCGAGUCACCAACUCGCGCUGAUUACGUCCCUGCCCUUUGUACACACCGCCCGUCGCUACUACCGAUUGAAUGAUUCAGUGAGGACAUUGGACUGGCGCCUGCGGAUCAGUCUUCGGCACGUACGCCAACGGCUCACGGGCCGGUACCGCCGUCGACACCAUGGGCUGACGGGAAGAUGUCCGAACUUGAUUAUUUAGA
rnacentral:rRNA from 1 species